rnacentral:ncRNA from 1 species
AUUGACCGAUACCGAUGGCUGGUCACCAACCAGUGGGAUUCUCCUGCAUUGCAGGCGGCUGUACAGAGUACAUCACCGUUCCCCAACACCUCAACACAAUCGCUCUCUGGUGCAAAGGUAUCGUCAA